UACGUAGGGUGCGAGCGUUGUCCGGAAUUAUUGGGCGUAAAGGGCUCGUAGGCGGUUUGUCGCGUCGGGAGUGAAAACUCAGGGCUUAACCCUGAGCCUGCUUCCGAUACGGGCAGACUAGAGGUAUGCAGGGGAGAACGGAAUUCCUGGUGUAGCGGUGAAAUGCGCAGAUAUCAGGAGGAACACCGGUGGCGAAGGCGGUUCUCUGGGCAUUACCUGACGCUCAUGCACGAAAGCGUGGGGAGCAAACAGG
rnacentral:rRNA from 1 species